AACCUACGGGAGGCAGCAGUGGGGAAUAUUGGGCAAUGGGCGCAAGCCUGACCCAGCAAUGCCGCGUGAAGGAAGAAGGCCCUCGGGUUGUAAACUUCUUUUAUCAGGGACGAAGGAUGUGACGGUACCUGAUGAAUAAGCUCCGGCUAACUACGUGCCAGCAGCCGCGGUAAUACGUAGGGAGCAAGCGUUGUCCGGAAUUACUGGGUGCAAAGGGAGCGUAGGCGGGAUGGCAAGUUGGGUGUUAAAUCUACCGGCUCAACUGGUAGUCGCACUCAAAACUGCUAUUCUUGAGUGAAGUAGAG
rnacentral:rRNA from 1 species